ensembl:lncRNA
CCGCCCCAUUUCCCGGCCCCACUGAUUCCCCCCCCCACGUUUCCCCUAUAGGGCAGUGCGAUAACGGCGGGACGUGGCAGAGUGGGGGCUGUGUGUGCCCCGACGGCUUCACGGGGGAGCGCUGCAGUUACGCCGAGGAACGCAUCGACGCCACGGCCGGUAGGGGGCGCCCUAUAGGACACCUAAUAGGGGAUAUGGGGGCACCGGGCCCUAUAGGACCCCUAAUAGGGGAUAUGGGGUCAUGGGGGCCCUAUAGGAGCCGUAAUAGGGGAUUUGGGGGCACCGGGACCCAUAGGAGGGGAUUUGGGGGCACCGGGACCCAUAGGAGGGGAUUUGGGGGCACCGGGACCCAUAGGACCCAUAGGAGGGGAUUUGGGGUCACAGGGCCCUAUAGGACCUGUAAUAGGGGAUAUGGGGGCACGGGGCCCUAUAGGACCCCUAAUAGGGGAUAUGGGGUCAUGGGGGCAUAUAGGACCCGUAAUAGGGGAUAUGGGGGCACCGGGCCCUAUAGGACCCAUAAUAGGGGAUAUGGGGUCAUGGGGGCCCUAUAGGACACCUAAUAGGGGAUAUGGGGUCAUGGGGGCCCUAUAGGACACCUAAUAGGGGAUAUGGGGUCAUGGGGGCCUAUAGGAGCCCUAAUAGGGGAUAUGGGGUCAUGGGCGCCCUAUAGGACACCUAAUAGGGGAUAUGGGGUCAUGGGCGCCCUAUAGGACACCUAAUAGGGGAUAUGGGGUCAUGGGGGCCCUAUAGGUCACCUAAUAGGGGAUAUGGGGUCAUGGGGGCCCUAUAGGAGCCGUAAUAGGGGAUUUGGGGGCACCGGGACCCAUAGGAGGGGAUUUGGGGUCACGGGGCCCUAUAGGACACCUAAUAGGGGAUAUGGGGGCACGGGGCCCUAUAGGACCCCUAAUAGGGGAUAUGGGAUCUCCAAUAGGGCACCGGGACACAUUAUAGGACCCAUAGGAGGGGAUAUGGGGGCACCGGGACCCAUAGGAGGAGAUAUGGGGUCACGGGGCCCUAUAGGAGCCGUAAUAGGGGAUUUGGGGGCACCGGGACCCAUAGGAGGGGAUAUGGGGUCACGGGGUCCUAUAGGACCCAUAGGAGGGGAUUUGGGGGCACCGGGACCCAUAGGAUCCGUAAUAGGGGAUUUGGGGGCACCGGGACCCAUAGGAUCCAUAAUAGGGGAUUUGGGGGCACCGGGACCCAUAGGAUCCAUAGGAGGGGAUUUGGGGGCACCGGGCCUUAUAGGACCCAUAGGAGCCGUAAUAGGGGAUAUGGGGGCACUGGGACCCAUAGGAGGGGAUUUGGGGUCACGGGGACCCAUAGGACCCAUAGGAGGGGAUUUGGGGUCACGGGGCCCUAUAGGACCCAUACGAGGGGAUGUGGGGUCACCGGGCCACAUAGGACCCAUAAGAGGGGAUUUGGGGUUUCCAAUAUGGCCCCAUAGGACCUGGAUUUGGGGGAUCUUCUCUUUUGGGAUUUAUCUGGGAUCUUUUGGGGUCUGCGUCCUUCUGGGGUCAGAGGGUCUUUUGGGAUCUCCUGUUUGGGGUCUUAUCCCUUUCUGCCCUUUUUGGGGUCCUUUUGGAGUCCUUUUGGGAUCCUCUUGUGUUCUUCUCUUUUGGGAUUUAUCCGGGAUCUUCUGGGGUCUGCGCCUUUUUGGGGCCAGGGGGUCUUUUGGGAUCCCCUCUUUGGGGUCUUAUCCCUUUCAGCCCUUUUUGGGGUCCUUUGGGUUCUUCUCUUUUGGGAUUUAUCUGGGAUCUUUUGGGGUCUGCGCCCUUUUGGGGUCAGGGGGUCUUUUGGGAUCUCCUGUUUGGGGUCUUAUCCCUUUCAGCCCUUUUUGGGGUCCUUUUGGGGUCCUUUUGGGGUCCUUUGGGUUCUUCUCUUUUGGGAUUUAUCCGGGAUCUUUUGGGGUCUGCGCCUUUUUGGGGCCAGGGGGUCUUUUGGGAUCCCCUCUUUGGGCCUUUAUCCCUUUCAACCCUUUUUGGGGUCCUUUUAGGAUCUUCUGACCGGGUUUUUUUGUUUUUGCUUCUUCUUUUUUCCCCUUUUUUGGCCUUUUUGACCCCAAAAAAGAGACCAACGGGACGGUGCCCGUGGAGGUCCGCGUCACCAAUAGGGUUUUUGAGGAGGCCUUCCAUGAUAACACAUCGCACCAAUAUCAGACCUUCGUCGAGGACUUCAAGAAGCAGGGGGGACCCCAAAAGGGGGAAUGGGACCCCAAAAGGGGGAGAAGACCCCAAAAGGGGGGUGUAGGAACACAGAAGGGGAG